UACGGAGGGGGCUAGCGUUGUUCGGAAUUACUGGGCGUAAAGCGCGCGUAGGCGGACCUGCAAGUCGGGGGUGAAAGCCCGAGGCUCAACCUCGGAACUGCCUUCGAUACUGCGGGUCUCGAGUCCGGGAGAGGUGAGUGGAACUGCGAGUGUAGAGGUGAAAUUCGUAGAUAUUCGCAAGAACACCAGUGGCGAAGGCGGCUCACUGGCCCGGUACUGACGCUGAGGUGCGAAAGCCAGGGGAGCAAACGGG
rnacentral:rRNA from 1 species